UACGAAGGAGGCUAGCGUUGCUCGGAAUGACUGGGCGUAAAGGGCGCGUAGGCGGCUUGGCAAGUCAGGCGUGAAAUUCCUGGGCUCAACCUGGGGGCUGCGCUUGAGACUACUGGGCUUGAGGAUGGAAGAGGCUCGUGGAAUUCCCAGUGUAGAGGUGAAAUUCGUAGAUAUCAGGAGGAACACCAGUGGCGAAGGCGGCUUUCUGGACGAUUACUGACGCUGAGACGCGAAAGCGUGGGGAGCAAACAGG
rnacentral:rRNA from 1 species